GCAUCUCCAGGAGCGCGACACGCGCCAGAGCCACGGCACCAUAGCCGUGGCACGGAGCUGUGGAAUCCUCCAGGUCCGCCCGCCACCCGGACCCCGUGUCCACCUGUAAGCCCCGAGCGCCUUCCACCCGGCAGGCAGCCCCCCAGUUCUGUCAUGGCUGCUCCUACGGCUUCUCUCUCCUUCACUUUCUUUCCUGGGCCACUUGCAGCCCCGCUUACGGAGUCGCUGCCGCCAUACUGCUGUCCUGAGAACAGAGCCGCCCAGGGGCCUCCCUGGACCCUCCCACCCUCCUGCUCCCGCCCUCUCCCCAGACGGCCCAGCGCCCACCAUGGCUGUCCCCCAGCGCCCACGGCGGCGAGCCCCACUGGCCAGACAUUCGCAGUCCUGGGAUCGGGCGCCCCACCCCUACCGCCUCGUGACGCUAGGCGUGUCCAGAACCCUCCUCCAUCCCUGAGCCGUGCAAGGGGUCCCGCCGACCGUCCACCUUGCUGCAGCAUCCCGGGGGCCAAGGCCCCGCCUCCCUCCAGGUGCCCCGGCAGUGAGCGUCCAGCCCUGGGCUCACCCCCUGCACACCCCUCGCGCUCUGGAACCACACAGGCCCGCCCUCUGCUCCCUCGCGGCUCCGUGUGCCGGCCCGGGCGGCUCCGUCUCGGGGGCACUCGGCAGAACCCCUCCGCGCAGCUUGCAGCCAGGCCUCACCCCCACCCCGUCCCCGGAAAACUCGGUGGGUCUCUACCACAGCGCGUUGCAUUACUUUUUAAAAAAAAUCACUGUGUUACUCAAAGGCGGGGGAGGGGGGGGGCAGCGUGCUCUCCUCCUGCUGACUCACUCCCCAGGAACUCCGGGUCUCCUGGGCCCCGACCACUGGAGCUGUCUGUUCCCUGCUGCCCCCCUGCUGGGGUUCAGAGCAGAGCCAGGACUCACGCAGGCACUCUGCCAGGGCACGCGGGCCUCACGCUCUUCCUGUCGCUCGCUCCCCGCAGUGCCGCCCCCGUGGGCGAGGUUGAAGAGGUCUUCUUCCAAGCGGCAGUGCAAGGCCAUCCCCAGGCAGGCCCCCCCUCCCCGUGCCCGCAGAGGGGAAGGGGGGUCCAGCACGUCUCCCGGCCCCCCGCGGCACUGGGCGACCUGGCUGUGUCUGCUGGGCCUCGCCCCCACUCUGUGAGAGGCCUGCUUCUCGGGGUCAGCCCGGGCAUCACCGGGUCUGUUGCAGGGAUGCGUCCUGCACUGUGGAUUCCAUGCCGCUGUCUCUGAAUCAAGGGGGGCGGGCACCUGCUCGGAUUUCCUGGGCGACUCAGCUCGCCAGUCUGAGCAGUCCCACUCAGCUUCCUGCUGCGAUGUUUCCUUUCACCCAGCGCAUCCCCACCGCGGCCUGCAGGAUGGCAGCUGCUCAGGGACCUGUGGUUCAGCAAGUGAGCGGUGGUGGAGGUGCUGUGUGUGAUGGUGGAGGUGGUGUGUGUGCUGGUGGAGGUGAUGUGUGUGAUGGUGAAGGUGGUGUGUGUGAUGGAGGUGAUGUGUGUGAUGGAGGUGGUGUGUGUGAUGGAGGUGGUGUGUGUGUGAUGGUGGAGGUGGUGUGUGUGCUGGUGGAGGUGAUGUGUGUGUGUGAUGGUGGAGGUGAUGUGUGUGAUGGUGGAGGUGAUGUGUGUGUGUGAUGGUGGAGGUGGUGUGUGUGAUGGUGGAGGUUGCUGUCUGUGAUGGUGGAGGUGAUGUGUGUGUGUGAUGGUGGAGGUGGUAUGUGUGAUGAUGGAGGUGAUGUGUGUGAUGGUGGCGGUGCUGUGUGUAUGAUGGAGGUGCUGUCUGUGAUGGAGGUGAUGUCUGUGAUGGAGGUGACGUGUGUCUGAUGGAGGAGGUGUGUCUGUGAUGGAGGAGGGUGUGUGUGAUGGGGAAUUUCAGGACACAGGUCUAGGAGCUCACAGGGUUGGUCACCGGAGUUGUUUCAGGUGGAUCCGACUUUCUCUGCAGGUGGAUCCUGACUCGUGGCUUUGGCCUGCAGGCAGGGAGGGUGGGGUCUGGGGCGUGAGUGCUGGCAUCACCUGCUGAGGGGCUGCAGGUGUCCCGUGAAGGCUCUGCUCGUCUCUGUCCCCCUCUCCACUCGUGCUGGUGAGCAGGUGGCGGACACAACACAGGAUCGAGGGACACCCAGUGCCGAUGGCCGUGGGGCAGGUGUGGCGGGGGGCAGAGUGGGAGGAGCAGUGACAAUCAGGCCGGGUGGACUCCACGGGGCCUGGACGCUUGGUCCAGGGCCGAGUGCCCC
ensembl:lncRNA